AAACAAAUCUUGCUUUCUCCUCCGGCAACAGAAUUCACCAUGGACCCAGGAAUGAAACCUGUAUUCUCUAAGGAGCUUUUUAGAGACGAGUGUUAUCAUAAAGGUCAUGGAGGAGACCUCACUGUGCAUGCCUCAGCCUGCAAAUUACAGUCCUGCAACAACCAGGAGACACCCAGCCUACUCCAUGGAGGAGCCCACCAUAUGGAAUAAUCUUCCUGCUGGUAUUAGAAGGAUAGCAAAAAGUGAGGCAAUACAAUUCAAUUCAACUUUGCAAAAUUUCCGUUAAGCUUAAAUAAGAAAUAAAGAUAAAGUAAUCUUA